ensembl:lncRNA
GCUCUGGAAUUAAAUAGUCAUGACUGAGAGAGUGUUUGUGUUUGUUGAUGAAGAGGAGCUGUUCAGCGUGAUGAAGGAUGCUGACUGUCUCUACUGCAGGAAUCCAGUCACUGCGUCCAAACAUCACCUCAGAAAGAGACAUCUCAGAUUCGCUAUAUAUUAUAAAGACUCUGCCAUUGGGAAGUUUUCUAUCCCCUGUUAUUGCUCUGAUGGAGGCCAUGGCAGGAGCCACUGGCACUGCCCAAUGUGCGCAAAAAUAUUGCAAAGAACAAAGGAUUUCAAAAUCCAUAUUACCAACCACGUUGAGCUACAACCUACAAUGGUCCUGUCGGAGAACCAACAAACAGACAACGAAGACAAGACACCGGGCAACAAGUCAGCGUGCCAGAAGUGUGGCAUCUUCUUUACCACCACAUCAAAUUUGAGACGGCAUGAGAGACUACAGCACGGCCAAGACCAGCAGCCCAUGUUAUGCGUAGAUGCCAAAAAUGCAAUCUAUGUUACACCCAAGGAUCUGCACGGACCUAGAGUGCCCAUUCAUAUCCGUAAAUCCUUCACCUUGCAGAUUCUGCUGUGUGAACUGGAGGAAUGCUGGGAUUUCAUGAAAGCGCUGGCCCAGAGCGGGAAUCCUGGGAAGGAAUGCCGUCACCUCGUGAGAACGAAUCACGCGCAGCACUACGUCCCUCCUCCACCGCUGAGCAUCAGCUCUCUGGAGGAGAUGAGCCACAAACACCUCCUGUCCGCAUCUGAGAAACACGCGUGCCAGGAGAUGAACUCCAGGGCAUGUUUAGAGGGAGUCGAUUGUGUCUACCCUAUUUUUUGGGGGAAGCAUGACCUUUCAGAGAGAUGUGUCUACUUUUCUGUGUACACUGACCUCAAGGACAAAUGGUGUCAGUUUGGGAGGACACGCGUCUCGUUUGACACCAAGUCUGGCAGCUGGAAGUGUCUGUGUGAACACAAAAGAAUCCCUUGCAUCCACAAGCGUUUAUCUAUGUGGUGGUUGUUUCAGGAGCAUCCCAAAUUGUUGCAGAACCCCCUGGAUGUCCACGCUGAAAGAGUCGACGUGCUUGAGGAAGUGGUCAUGGAUAAAAUGUCUCCUGAUGGUGAUGACCUCUGCUAGCCUCAACAUCCCUCUCAUGUUCUGUCUUCACCCAAUAAAAACACUUGCCAUACACUUGAUUUUGCCUUG